rnacentral:rRNA from 1 species
UACGAGGGGGGCGAGCGUUGUUCGGAAUUAUUGGGCGUAAAGGGUGCGUAGGCGGUUUGGUAAGUCUGAUGUGAAAUCUAUGGGCUCAACUCAUAGUCUGCAUCGGAAACUGCCGGGCUUGAGUGUGGGAGAGGUGAGUGGAAUUCCUGGUGUAGCGGUGAAAUGCGCAGAUAUCAGGAGGAACACCAAUUGCGAAGGCAGCUCGCUGGGACGUGACUGACGCUGAGACGCGAAAGCGUGGGGGAGCAAACAGG